rnacentral:rRNA from 1 species
AUACGGAGGGUGCGAGCGUUAAUCGGAAUUACUGGGCGUAAAGCGUGCGUAGGUGGUUAUUUAAGCAAGAUGUGAAAGCCCAGGGCUCAACCUUGGAACUGCAUUUUGAACUGGAUGGCUAGAGUAUUGUAGAGGGUGGUGGAAUUUCCAGUGUAGCGGUGAAAUGCGUAGAGAUUGGAGGGAACAUCAGUGGCGAAGGCGGCCACCUGGACAACUACUGACACUGAGGCACGAAAGCGUGGGGAGCGAACAGGAUUAGAUACCCUAGUAGUCC